UACGAAGGGUGCAAGCGUUAAUCGGAAUUACUGGGCGUAAAGCGUGCGCAGGCGGUUCGCUAAGACAGAUGUGAAAUCCCCGGGCUUAACCUGGGAACUGCAUUUGUGACUGGCGGGCUAGAGUAUUGCAGAGGGUAGUAGAAUUUCCAGUGUAGCGGUGAAAUGCGUAGAUAUCAGGAGGAACACCGGUGGUGUAAACGGCUUUCUGGACCAUAACUGACACUGAGGCACGAAAGCGUGGGUAGCAAACAGG
rnacentral:rRNA from 1 species